ACCCUGGUGCAGCUAACGCGGCAUCAUUAAUGCUGUGAUCCCCACUCUGUGUCUCUGAUUCUAGGAGCAAAUGUCUAUACUGCCCACCGGCGUCUGUAUUAGAGGUCUUCACGGAUCCACCUGUACCCGAAUACCUGAGACCCAAUCUUCCCCGUGCAGUUUGCCAGCUGCUGUGUGUCUGUGAAGAACUCCCUGACCAGUGUCUUGAGUUGCCAUGGAGAUAUGACUGCUUCUGUUGAGUAGCUCUGAGACAUGAAGGACCUGAGCCCUAGGACCAUGCCUCAGGACUACCUGGUAUGAUGACUCCUUGCUGUCCCCAGUCCACCUGGCCGUGCUGCUGCUCCAGUUUCAACUGUUCUGCCUGCGGCUAUGGAACCCUGACCUGUUCACCGGACGUGCUUGUUGCACCCUCGACAACUACUAUGAUUAUUAUUAUUUGACCAUGCUGGUCAUUUAUGAACAUUUUAACAUUUUAACAUCUUGACUAUGUUCUGUUAU
rnacentral:lncRNA from 1 species